GUGCUUAACACAUGCAAGUCGAACGCGCAACUCACUGUAGCAAUACAGGGGGCGGGCGCGUGGCGAACGGGUGCGUAACACGUGGGUAACCUUCCUUCUUGUGGGGAAUAACCCGUCGAAAGACGGGCUAAUACCGCAUGACAUUCCGGUGGCUUCGGCCGCCGGACUCAAAGCCGCAAGGCACAGGUAGAGGGGCCCGCGGACGAUUAGCUAGUUGGCGAGGUAACGGCUCACCAAGGCAAUGAUCGUUAGCCGGACUGAGAGGUUGGCCGGCCACACUGGAACUGAGACACGGUCCAG
rnacentral:rRNA from 1 species